rnacentral:rRNA from 1 species
UACGUAGGGGGCAAGCGUUGUCCGGAUUUAUUGGGCGUAAAGAGCGUGUAGGCGGCCAUUCAGGUCAGCUGUGAAAACUCGAGGCUCAACCUCGAGACGUCGGUUGAAACCGUUUGGCUAGGGUCCGGAAGAGGAGAGUGGAAUUCCCGGUGUAGCGGUGAAAUGCGCAGAUAUCGGGAAGAACACCCGUGGCGAAGGCGGCUCUCUGGGACGGUACUGACGCUGAGACGCGAAAGCAUGGGUAGCGAACAGG